GUUUUUGUUUUUUCCAUUUCUUGAUACUUGCCCUUGGUGUGUGGGCUUCUUAAGCAGGCCUGUCAUCCUAUCCCGAGAUUUUGAUAUUUUGUUUGGGCCUAUAUUUCCUCUGUAAAGGCCUAGAGAGGAGAGAGUGAUACAGUGGAAAGAGGAUGAGAUUUAGAUUCAGAUGGGUGGAUUUGAAUCCCACCUUCACCACUUAACGCAAAAAUUUGGCGUAUUAACCUUCCUUUGCUUCAUUUUAAUCUUCAUAUGCUUCAUUUUUUUAAUGUCUUAAAUGAGGAUAAUAAUAUUUAAUAAUACCUGCCUCACUGGGUUGUUGUGGUAAUUCAAUAAGGUAAUACAUCACCUUAGUACAGGUGUAGAAGGUGCUUGAUACGGGUUAGUUUCCUUUCCUAACAGUGCGUGAUAGUUAUGUAUGUUGAAUGAAUACGUUUACAAUAACAAGGUGAUAAGAGCUGGGAAAGGUAAACAGAUUCAAAAUAAAGUUAUUUUAAAAUAAGAGCUAUAUUAGAUGGGGGAGAAAAAGAACAGGUUCUGGAAUUGGGGGACAUUUUAAUUGGAGACAAUGCCUUUGAGAUCCAGCCAUGGUGGGGGAAGGACAGAGAACUAUCCUGUGUAGUUCUUGGUAUUGAGGCUAAAGGAAUCACAGUGACCUUUUUGAAGCAGGAACUCAUCAGUUAUCCCUGGGGCUGUCACUGCUCUGACCAGAUGUCCUCCUGGUGCCACCAUCCGAGGUUACUGGCUGUGUGGGGUCCCACUUGGUUAACUCUGACUCUCAGUGGAUCCAGUGCUAGUUUUUUGACUAUUCCUCUGGCCUUUCAGACUGUGCUUUUUGCCUGAUCCCAUUAGCCCCCUUUGAACCUUUUUGAACUGAUUUUGAACUCAGUUCUUUUCUUAACUUGGCUGACCGUGGUCUCUGGUCUCUCUGUCUUUCUCCGUUCAAUCCACCCUGACUUGGCCAGUGUUAUUCUUAACUAUCCUGUUCCAUUAUGAUGAAUAUAUUUUUCUUUUCUCAUCCUUGAUUUCCCUUUAUUUCUUUUCUCAACCUUUGCACAUUGGCACUAGUCUAACUUUAAUGCUGUUCAAGGUGUAAAUACUGAUUGCCUCAUUCAUUGUUUUUUGUUCAUUUACUCAAUAUGCAGUUUUAGAAACCAGAUAUACAAAGACCAAGUCUCUGGCCCCAAGGAGCUCUCCAUCUAAUCGAGGAGAGAAACAGAUAGCAAAUCACGAUAGCAGAGCCUGAUAAGUGUUAUGUUGAGAUCUACACAAAGUGUGGUGGAAGCCUGAAGCAGAGAGCCCUGCUCGGGCAAGGAGAGAAGCCUGAAUGGAUAAGCUGUACAAUAUUCUGUUGAAUGGAUGUGGAAUUGCUGGGUCAAAUGGCAUGUGCAUUCGUAAUUGUGGAAGAUACUGACAAAUCAUUCUCCAUGGAGGUCAUUUUUACCAAGUAACAGCAAUGGGCUCAGGUAACUAAUACAUGGAGAAAGUGGGAGAGGAGAAAAGGAAGAAGCACACAUCACAACCUUGGGAAAUACGUGGAGAUGAUGACAGAUCCACAAGGUGUAAGGAUCCUUUCUGACUCACCAAUUGGUGGCUAGCUGCUUGCUAGUCAGGAACGCCUGCUCUGAACAAGAGGAGAAAUUUUUAUUAUGUUAAAGAAAAUACUGUAGUAUAAUUUAAAACAGUCUAACAAAAUCCAAAAUAUCAAUCAUUGUUUAUUUUGUCCUGGGUUUGACUGUAGUGUGUGAGCAAAUGUGUGCUGACUCAUAUUUGAGAGCCAGAAGAUCAAGAAGACAUCAGAAUAAAGUAAGCUG